CCUACGAGAGGCAGCAGUAGGGAAUCUUGCACAAUGGGCGAAACCCUGAAGCAGCAACGCCGCGUGGAGGAUGAAGGUUUUCGGAUUGUAAACUCCUUUUGUUAGAGAAGAUAAUGACGGUAUCUAACGAAUAAGCACUGGCCAACUCCGUGCCAGCAGCCGCGGUCAUACGGAGGGUGCAAGCGUUACUCGGAAUCACUGGGGGUAAAGAGCGCGUAGGCGGGAUAGCAAGUCAGAUGUGAAAUCCUAUGGCUUAACCAUAGAACUGCAUGUGAAACUGUUAUUCUAGAGUAUGGGAGAGGUAGGUGGAAUUCUAGGUGUAGGGGUAAAAUCCGUAGAGAUCAAGAGGAAUACUCAUUGCGAAGGCGACCUGCUAGAACAUAACUGACGCUGAGGCGCGAAAGCGUGGGGAGCAAACAGGAUUAGAUACCCGGGUAGUC
rnacentral:rRNA from 1 species